UACGAAGGGUGCUAGCGUUAAUCGGAAUUACUGGGCGUAAAGCGUGCGUAGGCGGUUUCUUAAGUCUGCUGUGAAAUCCCCGGGCUCAACCUGGGAAUGGCAGUGGAUACUGGGAGGCUAGAGUGUGUCAGAGGAUGGUGGAAUUCCCGGUGUAGCGGUGAAAUGCGUAGAGAUCGGGAGGAACAUCAGUGGCGAAGGCGGCCAUCUGGGACAACACUGACGCUGAGGCACGAAAGCGUGGGGAGCAAACAGG
rnacentral:rRNA from 1 species